UCUCCGUUGGUGAACCAGCGGAGGGAUCAUUACAGAGUUAUCUAACUCCCAAACCCAUGUGAACUUACCAUUUGUUGCCUCGGCAGAACCUACCCGGUAACUGUUCGGAGAAGCUACCCUGUAGCUACCCUGUAACGGCCUACCCUGUAACGCACUGCCGGUGGACUUUUAAACUCUUGUUAUUUUAUAGUAAUCUGAGCGUCUUAUUUUAAUAAGUCAAAUCGAUGAAGAACGCAGGC
rnacentral:misc_RNA from 1 species